GCGCCCUUAGCUCAGUUGGAUAGAGCAACGACCUUCUAAGUCGUGGGCCGCAGGUUCGAAUCCUGCA
rnacentral:tRNA from 1 species